GGGAGGCAGCAGUGGGGAAUUUUGGACAAUGGGCGAAAGCCUGAUCCAGCAAUGCCGCGUGUGUGAAGAAGGCCUUCGGGUUGUAAAGCACUUUUGUCCGGAAAGAAAUCCUUGGCUCUAAUACAGUCGGGGGAUGACGGUACCGGAAGAAUAAGCACCGGCUAACUACGUGCCAGCAGCCGCGGUAAUACGUAGGGUGCGAGCGUUAAUCGGAAUUACUGGGCGUAAAGCGUGCGCAGGCGGUUUGCUAAGACCGAUGUGAAAUCCCCGGGCUCAACCUGGGAACUGCAUUGGUGACUGGCAGGCUAGAGUAUGGCAGAGGGGGGUAGAAUUCCACGUGUAGCAGUGAAAUGCGUAGAGAUGUGGAGGAAUACCGAUGGCGAAGGCAGCCCCCUGGGCCAAUACUGACGCUCAUGCACGAAAGCGUGGGGAGCAAACAGGAUUAGAUACCCUGGUAGUCCACGCCCUAAACGAUGUCAACUAGUUGUUGGGGAUUCAUUUCCUUAGUAACGUAGCUAACGCGUGAAGUUGACCGCCUGGGGAGUACGGUCGCAAGAUUAAAACUCAAAGGAAUUGACGGGGACCCGCACAAGCGGUGGAUGAUGUGGAUUAAUUCGAUGCAACGCGAAAAACCUUACCUACCCUUGACAUGGUCGGAAUCCCGCUGAGAGGUGGGAGUGCUCGAAAGAGAACCGGCGCACAGGUGCUGCAUGGCUGUCGUCAGCUCGUGUCGUGAGAUGUUGGGUUAAGUCCCGCAACGAGCGCAACCCUUGUCCUUAGUUGCUACGCAAGAGCACUCUAAGGAGACUGCCGGUGACAAACCGGAGGAAGGUGGGGAUGACGUCAAGUCCUCAUGGCCCUUAUGGGUAGGGCUUCACACGUCAUACAAUGGUCGGAACAGAGGGUUGCCAACCCGCGAGGGGGAGCUAAUCCCAGAAAACCGAUCGUAGUCCGGAUUGCACUCUGCAACUCGAGUGCAUGAAGCUGGAAUCGCUAGUAAUCGCGGAUCAGCAUGCCGCG
rnacentral:rRNA from 1 species